AUUGAACGCUGGCGGCAGGCCUAACACAUGCAAGUCGAGCGAGCGGAGGACGGGUGAGUAAUGUCUGUGAAACUGCCUGAUAGAGGGGGAUAACAACUGGAAAAGGUAGAUAAUAUCGCAUACGAUCAGAGGUGCACAGAGGGGGUUAGCUUGUAGGGGGGGUAACGGCCCACCUAGGCGACGAUCCCUAGCUGGUCUGAGAGGAUGACCAGCCACACUGGAACUGAGACACGGUCCAGACUCCUACGGGAGGCAGCAGUGGGGAAUAUUGCACAAUGGUCGCAAGCCUGAUGCAGCCAUGCCGCGUGUUUGAAGAAGGCCUUCGGGUUGUAAAGCACUUUCAGCGGGGAGGCGUUACCCGCAGAAGAAGCACCGGCUAACUCCGUGCCAGCAGCCGCGGUAAUUC
rnacentral:rRNA from 1 species